rnacentral:rRNA from 1 species
UGGGGAAUAUUGCACAAUGGGGGAAACCCUGAUGCAGCGACGCCGCGUGAACGAAGAAGGUAUUCGUAUCGUAAAGUUCUGUCCUAUGGGAAGAUAAUGACAGUACCAUAGAAGAAAGCUCCGGCUAAAUACGUGCCAGCAGCCGCGGUAAUACGUAUGGAGCGAGCGUUGUCCGGAAUUAUUGGGCGUAAAGGGUACGCAGGCGGUUUAAUAAGUCGAAUGUUAAAGAUCGGGGCUCAACCCCGCAAAGCAUUGGAAACUGAUAAACUUGAGUAGUGGAGACGAAAGUGGAAUUCCUAGUGUAGUGGUGAAAUACGUAGAUAUUAGGAGGAAUACCAGUAGCGAAGGCGACUUUCUGGACACAAACUGACGCUGAGGUACGAAAGCGUGGGGAGCAAACAGG